CCGACUCGAGGUCGUAAGCGUAUGCGUCUGGGCGAGAUUCGCCAUGUCUAAGCUCCUCUUCAGACUCUUCAGCCUCCCCAAUGUAGUUCCCGAACCUGCGCAACACACGAUCAUUAGCGCAACUCUGGCCCAGGAGCUGCUGAAAUGCUGCUGCCUUGAAUCAAAAGCACCUACUCGUCGUAAAGAUCGUCCAUAGUGUCUGCGAAAGAGCAAUGUAGGAAACGCGCAGUAUGAUUAAUUGCAGACGGAAUGGAUCAUUUCGCGAGCACCUUUUCCUCUGCAGAAGCGUACUACAAAUGCCUUGCAAUAUAACGUAUAACUAAAUCGCAGAGAUGGAGUCGCGGGGAGAGCAGGUGUUGUCCUCUGUGUUUGGCUGAUCGAUGCCGUCCUGGAGAUUUGUCGUGGGAGAGCUUGGUGAUGGCCUCAGGCACCAACAAAAAAUUUAAUCAACAAUCUGGUUAACUAGUUAGUUAGUUACAAC
rnacentral:sRNA from 2 species